rnacentral:rRNA from 1 species
GACGUAGGGGGCCAGCGUUGUCCGGAAUUACUGGGCGUAAAGAGCGCGUAGGCGGUUUAGUAAGCGGAAGGUGAAAUUCCGGGGCUCAACUCCGGAGCUGCUUUCCGAACUGCUAGACUAGAGUAUGGGAGAGGGUAGUGGAAUUCCUGGUGUAGCGGUGGAAUGCGUAAAUAUCAGGAGGAACUCCCGUGGCGAAGGCUGCUACCUGGAACAUUACUGACGCUGAGGCGCGAAAGCUAGGGGAG